AAGACUAUACUUUCAGGGAUCAUUUCUAUAGUUUCUAACUAGAGAAGUGCAUUCGAAAGUGAUCGGUAAAACUAUAUGAUGUGUACAGUUUGGU